CUCUAAACUCCAGAUGCCAGCCGCUGUGCCUUCUAGGGGACCUGCAUCUCUGUCUGGGGUUCAACUCAAGAUAAGUGGGAGCUGAGAAUACAGGGAGGUUUUGAAUUCCUGCUGGAACCACAACUCUGGGAGCUUGCUUCUCAACAACAGAAGCCUCAGAUGGUUUCAAGGAAAAUACCAAGGUCAGAAAUGAAAAGGUACCUUCCAUUCCAGCUGGAUAUGGCAUUUGGCUUAUCUUAUUAAGGGUGAUAUUUUCAAGGAUCACGACACAAAACUGACAAAACAAUGCCAAACUGGGUCCCAGGAUUUUGAUUUUUGGCAUAUUUGCAGGGA